GGCCUAGAUGAAAGAGGAGAUGUGAUUUCAAUCCAAUGCAUUUUGUAGAUUUUCUGCGUAGAAUUGAUGCUUCUAAAUGUAUAAAGAUAAAUCUAUUCAGACUGAAUAUUGCAUUCAUUUCCUGUAUUUUACUUUUAAAAUCAUUCAGUUAUAUGCAGCAGAAUAUUAUUAGCUGCCACCAAGCUCCCUGCUGACUCAUCUAGCAGCAGCCUGUGCCCGUCUCCAGGGGUUACUGAGGAGGCCAGUCAUUCUUUCAGAGGAGGCAGAAGGGGUGGUUUUCCUCAGAUGUGUAACAAGAGUCUCUCCUUCUUUCCCUUUUCUCAACAGGACGAUCGCAAACCUGAUACCUCCAAGGUUCCAAGCCCAUUCCAUGAGUCAAGCAUCUGGACGGUGUUGCUGAUCCCCAUCCUGGGAGCCUUGGUUCUGGGCUUGAUGUAUCGCUACUACAUAAUGGAUGGCAAGUCCUCCUGACUUGAGUCUGUAGGAAUUAGCUGCACCCACACCAUUCCAUUGACAGCUGUAGUUGUUUUCUGACUUCUGAUGGCUUCCAGGCAUCUUUCACUUUUAUCCGUCAGUUUAGUGCCUCUGCGACCUGCAAAGCCAAGCAGGGAUCUGGGAAGACCACCAUCUUUGCUGUAAACUCCAGA
rnacentral:lncRNA from 1 species